UUUGGUUGGUUUGUUUGUGCAAGACGACUACAAAAAGGUUUCAAUAGUAAGCACGGUAAGUCUUAACAUGUUAUGACCAAGAAUUGUGUUUUGGUUCUAGGGGAAGUGUUACGUAUUUGGAUCCAAUUUGCUAGAAGUAGUAGUAAUGACCGCUAAACAAGUCACUACACAGAAUAAUCCAGCGCAUUCCCCAAAGUUUUGUGUUGUUUAAUCAAUUUACUGAGUAGGUGGAGCAAAAAAUUAAGAGCAACCAUAUGUCUGUCUCCUGAUCCAUUUUGGAUCACAUCUCUACUAAAUAUAUGUUUUUUCAAAACACUGAGAUGAUAUAUUUUGGGACACACAAAAAUGGAACAGCCAGAUGAUGAUUUUUCUAAGAUGAACAUGCGUUUUUGUACUUGUUAUUUCUUAGCAACCCAACCAUAUACAACACACUAUACUGCAGGUGUUUCAGUUUUGAUUUACAUCUUUGAUUUGAUCUAACAAAGCAUUUUUUAAAAGAAUAGAGUAAACUUCCAGUUCAAGAAUACUGGUAUCAUUCUAGAUUUGGUUAGGGUUUUUUUUUUUUUUUUCCAGCACUUUUGAAAUGCCACUGUAUUUGAAGGAGUGACUUUUGACUGCAUUGAGAGAUGGACAUGCAAUAACAGUAUCAAAAAGUAUGGGAAGAAAGUAUUAGUAAAUGCAUUAAGAAAGUCAGUAAUCAUUAUUGUUAGCAAUCCUGGUGUUUGAAAAAUGAGGUCUAAGAAGUUGCAAUAGUAAAUAAACCAGCAUGCAUACGGUAGCCAUUCAGUGAGCGUAAACCUAUGCUUGAUUCUUAGAAGAAUUGUGUCUGAUUUCCCAGGACACUCACUGCCAUAUGUAUGUUGCUUUCACUAAUGAGAUAUUUCUAAACCAUGUAAUUUUAACAUUAGAUCUCUAAGGGAUCUUAGGUCAUUCCUGACUCAGAUGGAAGAAUUGUUCCAAGGCAAGAAGGCAAAAAGAGAACAAGUGGAGUGUGUUAAAAGGGGCAAGAGUCAGUGAAGAACCAGAGUUUCCAGGUCUUCUGAGUUCACCAUGAGGAAAAUGUCAGGAAGAGAGAAAAGUGGAUGAAGGGUGAGUUCCAGCUCCUCUAAAUCUGAGGUAUUAGUCCUCAGGAUCUCACCAUCCAGGAGAAUAGUGAGUGGUAAGUCAUCUUACUCUCAGGAGCAGGAAGCUGAUAGUAUGAUGUGGCAGUUUUUGAACUUUCUAACAACUUAUUAAGCUACUCCAUUCUUGGUGAGGAGGCUCAGUGCAGUCUUGGUUUAUGGGAGAGGUCUAAUGAAAUAGAAGGAAUGAAGGAUAAAGAAUAGAUUCUCUUGACUGAGAAAGAAAAGUGAGCAAAGAAAUGCCCUUGGAAUUCUUUGAAAUAUAUACGGGCCUUCUGAGACUGCAAAAGAAAAUGUAACUGUGUGCUCUUUGGUUCCCUAGAUUUGUUCUGCAGCACUGAAAAAAAGCAGUGCAAGGAUUAAGAUGACUUAAUGCCUGAAGCACACAGUUCUGCUACAAGACAACAGGAACAGUUACUUCUGUGAAGCUCAGUACCAGGGAAUCAAUUGUCAGAAUCUGGUGCCUCUGUCAGCAUGGUCUAUGAAGGAG
rnacentral:lncRNA from 1 species